CCCUUUGGGUGUGACUGCGUACCUUUUGUAUAAUGGGUCAGCGACUUAUAUUCUGUAGCAAGGUUAACCGAAUAGGGGAGCCGGAGGGAAACCGAGUCUUAACCGGGCGUUAAGUUGCAGGGUAUAGACCCGAAACCCGGUGAUCUAGCCAUGGGCAGGUUGAAGGUUGGGUAACACUAACUGGAGGACCGAACCGACUAAUGUUGAAAAAUUAGCGGAUGACCUGUGGCUGGGGGUGAAAGGCCAAUCAAACCGGGAGAUAGCUGGUUCUCCCCGAAAGCUAUUUAGGUAGCGCCUCGUGAAUUCAUCUCCGGGGGUAGAGCACUGUUUCGGCUAGGGGGCCAUCCCGGCUUACCAACCCGAUGCAAACUGCGAAUACCGGAGAAUGUUAUCACGGGAGACACACGGCGGGUGCUAACGUCCGUCGUGAAGAGGGAAACAACCCAGACCGCCAGCUAAGGUCCCAAAGUCAUGGUUAAGUGGGAAACGAUGUGGGAAGGCCCAGACAGCCAGGAUGUUGGCUUAGAAGCAGCCAUCAUUUAAAGAAAGCGUAAUAGCUCACUGGUCGAGUCGGCCUGCGCGGAAGAUGUAACGGGGCUAAACCAUGCACCGAAGCUGCGGCAGCGACACUGUGUGUUGUUGGGUAGGGGAGCGUUCUGUAAGCCUGUGAAGGUGUGUCGUGAGGC
rnacentral:rRNA from 4 species